AGUAAGGGAAAAAGACUACAACUCCCAGCAUACGUGGCGCCCGGUGAAGUACGGCAGGAUACAUAGGAGUUUCACUUUGUGCUACUUAGUGUACAUUCUUGGGGAUAAAAGGCACUAAAAUUAUUAAGAAAAGAAAUAUGGUUUGAUUAAUCAUUAAUGCCUGCCGCUACGUGCUGAACAAGGUUGGCAGCAUUUUCAGCUGGAAGGAAAGGCCAUCCUCUGUUGACCAAUCCAAGGCACCAGGUAGCCAGGUCAAAGAUGAAAAGCAUGAUCAGAUAAACUCGUCACCGGAUGAUGGCCUGUUGCCAGAGACCCUUCAAAAAUCAGAGCCGAUGAUUCAGGAAUGUGGAUCCUGAGACUAACGAUUGCACCGGGCUAGCUGUUGGCAGUCCAGACCGGUGCAUUUUGGCCACUUCCUGGUAAUGCAGUCUACCAUGAUAAAUAUAAUAGCAAUGAAUGAAGACAUGCUUAGCAACUCGCUGACUGGCGAGAUGAGCAUUUCUGAAAAUACCUGCUGUGUUUCAAAGCUAUCCAAUUAAAAACAAUUGUGCUCAA